rnacentral:rRNA from 1 species
UACGGAGGUCUCAAGCGUUGUUCGGAUUCAUUGGGCGUAAAGGGUGUGUAGGUGGCGCCGUAAGUCGGGGGUGAAAUUUCGGAGCUUAACUCCGAAACUGCAUUCGAUACUGCGGUGCUUGAGGACUGGAGAGGAGAGUGGAAUUCACGGUGUAGCAGUGAAAUGCGUAGAUAUCGUGAGGAAGACCAGUGGCGAAGGCGGAUCUCUGGACAGUUCCUGACGCUGAGGCACGAAGGCGAGGGGAGCAAACGGG